rnacentral:rRNA from 1 species
GAUGAACGCUGGCGGCGUGCCUAAUACAUGCAAGUCGAGCGAACAGACGAGGAGCUUGCUCUUCUGAUGUUAGCGGCGGACGGGUGAGUAACACGUGGAUAACCUACCUAUAAGACUGGGAUAACUUCGGGAAACCGGGGCUAAUACCGGAUAACAUGUUGAACCGCAUGGUUCAACAGUGAAAGACGGUCUUGCUGUCACUUAUAGAUGGAUCCGCGCCGCAUUAGCUAGUUGGUAAGGUAACGGCUUACCAAGGCAACGAUGCGUAGCCGACCUGAGAGGGUGAUCGGCCACACUGGAACUGAGACACGGUCCAGACUCCUACGGGAGGCAGCAGUAGGGAAUCUUCCGCAAUGGGCGAAAGCCUGACGGAGCAACGCCGCGUGAGUGAAGAAGGUCUUCGGAUCGUAAAACUCUGUUAUUAGGGAAGAACAAAUGUGUAAGUAACUAUGCACGUCUUGACGGUACCUAAUCAGAAAGCCACGGCUAACUACGUG